ACUCCUACGGGAGGCAGCAGUGGGGAAUAUUGCACAAUGGGCAGCAAGCCUGAUGCAGCCAUGCCGCGUGUAUGAAGAAGGCCUUCGGGUUGAUAAGUACUUUCAGCAGGUGAGGAAGGCGGGUACGUUAAUAGCGUGCUUCGUUUGACGUUAGCUGCAGAAGAAGCGACCGGCUAACUCCGUGCCAGCAGCCGCGGUAAUACGGAGGGUGCGAGCGUUAAUCGGAAUUACUGGGCGUAAAGCGCAUGCAGGUGGCUUUGUUAAGUCAGAUG
rnacentral:rRNA from 1 species